CUACGGGAGGCAGCAGUGGGGAAUAUUGGACAAUGGGGGCAACCCUGAUCCAGCAAUACCGCGUGUGUGAAGAAGGCCUGCGGGUUGUAAAGCACUUUCGGUCGGGAGGACUGCUUCUAGCACUAAUAUUGUUGGAAGUUGACGUUACCUUCAGAAGAAGCACCGGCUAACUCCGUGCCAGCAGCCGCGGUGAAUACGGAGGGUGCAAGCGUUAAUCGGAAUUACUGGGCGUAAAGCGCGCGUAGGCGGCUAGAUCAGUCGGGUGUGAAAGCCCCGGGCUUAACCUGGGAACUGCAUCCGAUACUGUCUAGCUUGAGUACAGGAGAGGAGAGUGGAAUUCCACAUGUAGCGGUGAAAUGCGUAGAUAUGUGGAGGAACACCAAUGGCGAAGGCAGCUCUCUGGCCUGAUACUGACGCUGAGGUGCGAAAGCGUGGGGAGCAAACAGGAUUAGAUACCCCUGUAGUC
rnacentral:rRNA from 1 species